GUUUCCUUCUGUUGAAAGAUUGUCUCUGAAAAAAGGAAAACUCUAGAGCUUUCUCCAAAAGGUGGACCGCACCGGUAGCCAUGAUUGUGGAUCAAAGUGGCCAAAUCCAGAGGUUCUCGGUGAGUUAAGUAUGGUGACAUUGUCUCCUGAAGACAAAGAGAGAGACAGAGGACACAUGAGAGGAGUUUCUGCAAGAAUAAUAUGUCAUCACCUAAAGAGGAAAAUGAAGACUGUUUGAAACAAACUCUGAAAAGAGUCGUGUCUUCUUCAUCAGCGCUGAAAAACAUGGGUUCUAUGAACUCCUCUUCAUCCUCCUCCUCCUCCUUCUCCUGGUCACCGUGCUCAUCUACAACCUCCUCCUUCUCAAUCUCAUCAUUGGCACAACAUUCACGGCUCUCCUGACAUUUGGUGAUAAGGUUUGAUGUUGAAUUAUCAAUCAUUAGAACUUCAUCGUCACUAACUUCACUAUCCGUACAUUGACGUCUCUCAUAAAUACGGGAGGAUGUAAUGCAAAAUUGAGUUAAUAUUGAAUGGUCUCCCCUGCCAUCCAUUCUGCCUGCUGUGUGCCGCCUUUCUAAUCUGUGUAUUCGCCUCUGCCCCAGUGAGCUCUCC